rnacentral:tRNA from 1 species
GCCUGAGUGGCUCAGUCGGUUGAGCAUCCGACUUCGGCUCAGGUCAUGAUCUCACGGUUCGUGAGUUCAAGCCCCACAUCGGGCU